GCUCUUUCCUGCAUCCCACACAAAAGACCAACAGACGCCUUCGAGAAAUAUGUGUGUGUGUGUGUGUCCAGAUGCCAUGCAUGGGAUCAGUGAAUUCUCCAUCCAGAUGAUCCAUAUAGCAACCUGUCAUGGUAGCAGUGUACAGCAUGUUUAGAGGUAAACACAGCAUACAUGAAACCUAUGGCUAAAACAGAAUAGCUAGCUAUCCAAGACAUCUGUUAUGAUGCAAUAGGUCUCAGUUAAGAACACAUGAACCCACUGCACUCAAAUGUAAUGUUUUCAUUAAGUAGGAAGUAUGAAAAAUGCUUACAAACUAUGAAGUAUGUUUACUAAGUAUGAAGUUUGCUUACUAAAUAUGAAGUAUGAUCACGAAGUAGAAAGUACGCUUACUUGAAGUAUGCUUAUUGAAGAUUUUACUGUAUGUGUGCUGUAUUUUGCUCUAUUUACAGUAUGUUGUAUUUAGCUUUAUCUAUGUUUACUCAACAGAGUUGUAUCUAUGCUUUCAUGUACAAUGUGAGAUCUUUUGUACCAAACAGUCAGCAUCAACUGCCCCCACAAAUGGCCGCUGUAUUCUACUCAGGCAUUAACAGAGACGACUGCACAUUGAUGCUACUGUACAUGCGGAGUCAGCCAACAUUCCACACCCCAGCCAGGACCCGCCUGCUGCCCUUUUAUGGGUUGAAGCUGCAUGGUCGGGCAUCAUGGGUGCUGCAUUGUAUAUCAGAAAAAAACAUCUCUAGGUUAAUUUCUUAUGCUACUCAAAACCAAGAAAAAGUAGAAUGAUAGGAAGGUAGAUGGACUGGCUACUCAAAAGCUAGAAGUAUGUAAAAACAUAGGAUGAUUGAUGUAGGGAAGAACGAUACAGUACGAUAGAUUUGGGAAAGAGAGAAGGAUAGGAGGAUAGAUGGAGGCAAAGAGGACAAGAAAAUAGGUCAGGAGGAUAGAUGGAGGGAAGGAUAGGAGGAUAGAUGGAGGGAAGGUUAGGAGGAUAGAUGGAGGGAAGGUUAGGAGGAUAGAUGGAGGGAAGGUUAGGAGGAUAGAUGGAGGGAAGGAUAGGAGGAUAGAUGGAGGGAAGGAAGGUUAGGGAGAUAGAUGGAGGGAGGGAAGGUUAGGAGGAUAGAUGGAGGGACGAUCAAGAGGAUAGAUGGAGGGAAGGUUAGGAGGAUAGAUGGAGGGAAGGUUAGGAGGAUAGAUUGAGGGAAGGUUAGGAGGAUAGAUGGAGGGACGAUCAAGAGGAUAAAUGGAGGGAAGGUUAGGAGGAUAUAUUGAGGGAAGGUUAGGAGGAUAGAUGGAGGGAGGGAAGGUUAGGAGGAUAGAUGGAGGGAAAGUUAGGAGGAUAGAUGGAGGGAAGGUUAGGAGGAUAGAUGGAGGGAGGGAAGGUUAGGAGGAUAGAUGGAGGGAUGAUCAAGAGGAUAGAUGGAGGGAAGGUUAGGAGGAUAGAUGGAGGGAAGGUCAGGAGGAUAGAUGAGGGAUGGUUAGGAGGAUAGAUUGAGGGAAGGUUAGGAGGAUAGAUUGAGGGAAGGUUAGGAGGAUAGAUGGAAGGAGGGAAGGUUAGGAGGAUAGAUGGAGGGACGAUCAAGAGGAUAGAUGGAGGGAAGGUUAGGAGGAUAGAUGGAGGGAAGGUCAAGUGGAUAGAUGGAGGGAAGGUCAAGUGGAUAGAUGGAGGGAAGGUCAAGAGGAUAGAUGGAGGGAAGGUCAAGAGGAUAGAUGGAGGGAAGGUCAAGAGGAUAGAUGGAGGGAAGGUCAAGUGGAUAGAUGGAGGGAAGUUUAAGAGGAUAGAAUGAUGGAUGAAAGGGAAAGAAGGAGGGAGGGAGAACAAGGUAAGGACAGACAACAAACAGCAUGACAAAAACAGCCUCCUGACAUGCUAGUAAAAGGAGAAGUGUGGCUUUGUUCCAGACUGUUGUGUGUGUGUGUGUUCUCUGGAGCAGAGCCCAGUGUUCUGACAUGUGUUUCUGUUUAUUAAUGAGUCUGGAGGCGCUGCCAAUGAAUGAUGAGUUUCCUUUCUCUCUCCCUCUGUUCUCCUUUUCUCUGUCCUCUCUUUCUCUGUCUCUCUCUCUCUCUUUGACCUCUUUCUCUCUCUCUGUGUCACACACACCCACAUGCACACACACACAUGCACACACAAUCUUGUACAGCUAACCUUGUGGGGAUACACAAUUCAGUUCCAUUCAAAGUUCUAUUUUCCCUAAUCCCUAAAUGAAACCCUAACCCUAACCUUAACCCAAAAACCGAACCUUAACUCUAACCCUAAAACUAACCUCAGCUCCUAACCGUAAGCCUUAACGUAAUUCUAACCCUAACACUAAUUCUAACCUUAAUCAUAAACCCCUUAGAAAUAGCAUUUGAACUUGUGGGGACAAACAAAAUAUCCACAGUUGGUCACAUUUUUGUUGUUUACAAUUCUUGUGGGGACUUCUGUUAAACACGUCCACACCCACACACACACUACAUCCCAGCGCCUGACCCUCAGCACGCCAUAAAUCUGACUUCAAGGGCGGUGUCGGCGUUGGCGAGAACAGGAUAUGAGAGCGUGGCCCUCUCAAAAUCUUCCCCUCCAGAUGAGAACAAAAUGUAGAGAAUGUUCCAGAUGCCGCGGCCGCUACAGUCUAGGAACAUGUGGAGCCAAGAGCUGGAAAACGAGCAGCCCUUCCUAUCUUUUCCCCCUUCUUUCCAUGCAUUUUCUCUCUGUUGUCUAACUUAUCCGUCUCUGUUUUUGGGCUGUUGGUAGGCUAGCUUUUUGUUUCGUACUGUUAUCUCUUUGAUAGUGUCUCCUUAUCUUGUUAUCUUGUCACUCUCCUCUUCCUUCCACUUCUGUCUAGCAUCUUAAAACACACACACACACACACAUUGAGGUAGAGACAAACACACACACACACACACACACAAACACACACACACACACACACAUUGAGGUAAACACACACACACACAUUGAGACAAACACACACACACACACAAACACACACACACACACACACAUUGAGGUAGAGACAAACAUACACACACACACACACACACAUUGAGGUAGAGACAAACACACACACACACACACACACACAUUGAGGUAGAGACAAACAAACACACACACACACACACACACACACAUUGAGGUAGAGACAAACACACACACACACACACACACAUUGAGGUAGAGACAAACACACACACACACACACACAUUGAGGUAGAGACAAACACACACACACACAAACAUACAUAUGUACAAACACACAAAGACAGAGUGACACACACACACACACACACAUUGAGGUAGAGACAAACACACACACACACACAUACAUAUGUACAAACACACAAAGACAGAGUGACACACACACACACAUCCCUCAGACAGGAUUAUCCCACUCUCACAAGUUGAUCCUCUCUGGCAAGCACUGCCAGUCCCCUCUGAGCAUGGAACAGAAGCACUACUGUCAGGGCAGAGCUGUGACCUAGAGAGUAGUAUGUCUGUGUGUGUGUGUGGGUCUCUGUUUGUGUGUGUGUAUCCCUCUGUGUGUUUGUGUGUGUGUGUCUCCCGUUGUUUGUUUGGGUGUGUCAGGUCACAGGCCAAGGUCUCCAACCUGAUCCGCUCUGAGGCAAUCGGCCUGCGAGUGCAUUAAGAGAUUGCGGGGGGGACGCCGAGCCGAGGCUCACUGGCUCGACUUAAAGACAUACACAUAAUCCUGGCUGCUCUGCUGUGGUCUGCUCCACCUGACAAGGAUAAGUGUGGCAGGUGUGUCUGUCAGGGACUGUGUGUGUGUGUGUGUGUGUGUGUGUGUGUGUGUGUGUGUGUUUGUGCGUAUCCUCUCUGAGCUGUACCCCACCUACGCCCUCUCAGGCGUGCCCCUGUCCUUGGACACCCUUACCCGCCCUAGAGUCACUUCAUCUGCCAACUGGAUAAAGAGAGAGAGAGAUAAGGAGGGGUACACAGAGAGAGGGAGAGCGAGACAGAGAGCGAGACAGAGGUAGUCAGACAGACGGAGGGAGAGAGGGAACCAGCCAGUAGAGAGACGUGACAGGACAGAGGUUACCCCACACCCUGAUGUCAUCCUUCCCAGCCUGACCACACAAAGCAUGGUCAGUUAGCUAUAGUCACAAAGCACACCAACACUUAACCAUGCAUUUAAACUAUGGACGCUUGAGAUCUGCAAGUGUACGGUAUGUGUUUAUAAGGUAUGCUACAUAAUUCCACUGUAUGUCACUUGGACUGUGUUCAUUUUGAUAAUAAAUGGAAUUGCACAGAGAGA
ensembl:lncRNA